UACGGGGGGUGCGAGCGUUGUCCGGAAUCAUUGGGCGUAAAGGGCGCGUCGGGGCUCUUUAUGUCUACCGUGAAAGCGUACGGCUCAACCGUAUCUUGUCGGUAGAAACUGCAGGACUUGAGGCUGGGAGGGGCUGGUGGAAUUCCCUGUGUAGCGGUGAAAUGCGUAGAGAUGGGGGAGAACACUCGUGGCGAAGGCGGCCAGCUAGACCAGUUCUGACACUGAGGCGCGACAGCGUGGGGAGCAAACAGG
rnacentral:rRNA from 1 species